rnacentral:rRNA from 1 species
GCAAGGUUAUAUUUGAUUAAAUGCAGCCAUACUGCCCCAGGGUUAUGACCUUGCAAGCUAAGCAGAAUCCAGUUUGGUCAGUAUUUAGAUGGGUGAUCUACAGUGAAAACCCAUUAUACUUUAGCA